rnacentral:rRNA from 1 species
GAUGAACGCUAGCGACAGGCUUAACACAUGCAAGUCGAGGGGCAGCAUAGAAGUAGCAAUACUUUGGUGGCGACCGGCGCACGGGUGAGUAACGCGUAUGCAACCUACCUAUCAGAGGGGAAUAACCCGGCGAAAGUCGGACUAAUACCGCAUAAAACAGGGGCACCGCAUGGUGAUAUUUGUUAAAGAAAUUCGCUGAUAGAUGGGCAUGCGUUCCAUUAGGUAGUUGGUGAGGUAACGGCUCACCAAGCCUACGAUGGAUAGGGGAACUGAGAGGUUGGUCCCCCACACUGGUACUGAGACACGGACCAGACUCCUACGGGAGGCAGCAGGGAGGAAUAUUGGUCAAUGGGCGGGAGCCUGAACCAGCCAAGUCGCGUGAAGGAAGAAGGAUCUAUGGUUCGUAAACUUCUUUUGCAGGGGAAUAAAGUGCGGGACGUGUCCUGUUUUGUAUGUACCCUGAGAAUAAGGAUCGGCUAACUCCGUGCCAGCCGCCGCCGUAAGAC